rnacentral:rRNA from 1 species
AUUGAACGCUGGCGGCAUGCCUUACACAUGCAAGUCGAACGGCAGCACGGGUGCUUGCACCUGGUGGCGAGUGGCGAACGGGUGAGUAAUAUAUCGGAACGUACCUUAUUGUGGGGGAUAACGCAGCGAACGCUGUGCUAAUACCGCAUAAUCCCUAAGGGGGAAAGCGGGGGACCGUAAGGCCUCGCGCAAUUAGAGCGGCCGAUACCUGAUUAGCUAGUUGGUGAGGUAAAGGCUCCCCAAGGCAACGAUCAGUAGCUGGUCUGAGGGGAGGAACAGCGCCACGGGGACUGAGACACGGCCCAGACUCCUACGGUAGGCAGCAGUGGGGAAUGUUGGACAAUGGGGGCAACCCUGAUCCAGCAAUGCCGCGUGAGUGAAGAAGGCCUUCGGGUUGUAAAGCUCUUUUGUCAGGGAAGAAACAGCAGCUCUAACACAGUUUGCGAAUGACGGUACCUGAAGAAUAGGCACCGGCUAACUACGUGCCAGCCGCCGCCGUAA